CUUACAUCCAAAUGAUGAGAGUCAUAUCCUCUGGGGUUUUUGUUGCAACUGAUGUUUGCUUUGAUUUUAUUGUGCAGUACUGCAGAUGGAGCCCCGGGCCUUGUGCAUGCUAAAUAAAUGCUGGCUCUACAUCUCCAGCCCUCUCAGUUUUGUUUUUGUUUACUAAACAAACAAACGGUUUGGAGAGAUUGCUCAGUGGUUAAGAGCACUAGCUGCUCGUCCAGAGGAUCCACAUGGCAGCUCGCAACUGUCUGUAACUCCAGUUCCAGGGGAUCCGACACCCUUAGACAGAUACGCAGGCAAAACACUAAUGCACAUAAAAUAGAAAAAUAAAUAAAUAAAUCAUACUUUUAAAAAACCCAGGAUGAAGAUUUAUAAAAUUGACCAGAGAUCUCCCAAUACCCAGAAUUCAACCCCAAAUCUCUCCAGUUCUACAACUUUCCCUCUAGUUGGCGUUGCCUUCUAGAGUGAGAAUAUGGGAAGUCCCACCCAAUGGACAUCUUCAUUCUGGCAGCAAGCACCACUGCAGGUCACUGGCCUGAAGAGGCUUCAAAUGAGAAGGGUCCACUGUCUUAGCAUGCAAGCCUUCAAGCCUGAACAAGGAAACUAUUCAUCCAUGGAGCCAACCAGGAGGAAGCCACUUCCUGUUCUCUCCCUGUCCUGGCCUGGCCAGGCCAGGACAUGGCUUUCCAUCCCAGGCUGGGAGGAUGGAAUUGAUAAAGGCCCAUUGUGACAGUCUCACAAACCCAGAGGCCAUCAAGGGGCUAAGAAGCCACUUAACAGCUUUUGAACAUUUGUAAAAAGAAUUAUCCUGCAGAAGAGAAUGCAGAGAGGGGCCCAAGGUCGCCACCGGGAUGCACCUCUGCCACCCAUGAUAGGGAGGCUGACAGUAAAGCCAGCAGGGGCCCAGCCUGCUUGCAACACCAUGGGCUGACCUGAGGCAGGAGGGACUCAGACACCACCAACAGGCAGCUUUACAAUUCAGGACUCCUGGACACCUGGAGUUGAAACCCAAUCUCCUGCCAAAUGCAGGAAACACAAG
rnacentral:lncRNA from 1 species